rnacentral:rRNA from 1 species
CCCUUAGAUGUUCUGGGCCGCACGCGCGCUACACUGUUCGACGCAGCGAGUCUUAACCUUGACCGAAAGGUUUGGGUAAUCUUCAGCAAAGUCGAACGUGAUGGGGAUCGAUCAUUGCAAUUAUUGAUCGUGAACGAGGAAUUCCUAGUAAGUGCAAGUCAUCAGCUUGCGCUGAUUACGUCCCUGCCCUUUGUACACACCGCCCGUCGCUACUACCGAGUGAAUGGUUUAGUGAGAUCUCUGGAUUGACGCUGGCUAGGGGGCGACCCUUGGCCAGGCUGUCGAGAAACUGCUCAAACUUGAUCAUUUAGAGGAAGUAAAAGUCGUAACA